UUUUGUUGCUUAGAUAGGUGGCCUCACAGCCCACCUGGUGUUAAGUGGUUACUGAAGCCCAUAGACAUCUACAACGUAAAUGCGCCACCAACCUUGAGAUAUAAGUUCUAAGAUCUCAGUAUAGUUACAACGGCUGCCCCACCCUUCGGACUCACAACAGGUUCUACCACCAGUAAAAAACCAGUUUCUCUGUUAGUAACGAUUUCUAUCUGAAGGUAAAAGCUGCGAAGCUCUGCUAAGACAGACGUAACAAAACUCUUUCAAGCUUAGCCCUGUGAGCUCGCCCUUAAGUCGACUUCCAGGUAAGUAAUAAUACCCGUCAAGACGUUUUCUAGCUUUCUAUCAACUAUAAACUAUAAUUGGGACACGGCUUAUGUACAGCGUUAACGAUAGUAUAUUAAUAAAUAUCAUACAGACCAGUGAAUGGUUGCUGACAUAGCCCGUAGAAUUAGUGAACUGAAGUGGCAAUGGGCCGGCCACAUAGCACGAAGAGAGGACGGUCGAUGGGGCAGAAAGAUCCUGGAGUGGCGACCACGUACUGGCAAGCGCAGUGUGGGACGGCCACCUACUAGAUGGACCGACGACCUAGUAAAAAGCGCUGGGUCUCGUUGGAUGCAGGUGGCAAUGGACCGGUCGCACAGGAAAUCUAUUGGAGAGGCCUAUGUUCAGCAGUGGACGGCGAUAGGCUGAAAUAAUGAUACAGACCAGUAUGCUUAGUGCGAGGUUUUUAACGUUCUCGAUAGCGUGAAAGUUAACUGAAUUUUGUAUGGAGUUAGAACAGCGCCCUUAGCGAUAAACGUAGACAAACGUUGCAACUCCAUACAAGUUUGAGUUAACUUUUACGCUAUCGAGAACGUUAAAAAAAGUCGCACUAAGCUUUUUUUUUAUUGCCCUUGUAGGCAGACGAGCAUACGGCCCACCUGAUGGUGAGUGGUUACCGUCGCCCAUGGACUUCAGCAAUGCCAGGCCAAGCCGCUGCCUAUCGCAAACUGGCCGAUUACGCCGUAGCACCGAUAAAAAUAAAGUUUAGAAUCUCACCAGCGGUUUUAUAGCUGGCUUGGCUAUCCAUCCGUCAUGGACAUAGGCAUUCUCUGAGUCUAUGCCCUAUUACGUAAUGGGACAAUAAAUGAGGUGAAUUUAUACGCUGCUAAAAUAAUAAUCAUAAAUUUAUUGAAAACAGGAAAACAUACACUUAGUCAUCAAAUAUGUACAACUAUAUGGUUUAUUGUCUGUGAACGGCCGUCAAUAAUAUUAACAUAAAAUUGCAGAGCGAAUUCACUUAAAAAUAUUUAAAACUACAUCGUAAUAAUCUUUUAUGUAAUAAUAGGAAUAUAUUAUAUAUAUAGAAUAGAAUAUAUUUAACGGCCGUCUGGUGUAGUGGCAAUUGACAUGGUCACUACACAAGGGGGUCGCGGGUUCGAAUCCCGCCAAGGGAAGAUAUUUGUAUGAUAAAUAUAAAAUGUAUUUUCCAGGGUUAUGGAUUUAUAUUAAAUAUAUGUAUGUGUAUAAUAAAAAAUCUUACAUUUAUUUCCGUUAUCUGGUACCUACCUGUAACACAAGUUCUUUACGAACUUAUCACGGGACCAGUUAACGUGGCGUGACUGUUAGUAAAUAUUUAUUUAUGUAUUAUUUAUUUAUUAUUAUUUAUAUUGAACUCCAAUAAAUAUUAAUAACGGUUUUAACUUUAAUCCUUUAUGUUAUUUAGUUAAAGCCGGCUACGCAUACCUGCUAAUGUAACUUUCGAAAUAAAUCGUAACUUUGCUUAGAUGGGUGGACGAGCUCGCAGCCCACCUGGUGUUAAGUGGUUACUCGAGCGUACAUCGUAUCUACAACGUAAAUGCGCCACCCAUCUCGAGAUAUAAGUUCUAAGGUCUCAGUAUAGUUACAACGGCUGCCCCGCCCUUCAAACCGAAACGCAUUGCUUCACGGCAGAAAUAGGCAGGGUGGUGGUACCUACUCGUGCGGACUCACAAGAGGUCCUACCACCAGUAAAGUAGUCCAAGCGAAACAAAUUGGGAAUGCUAUGCGUUUAUAGAGCUAUAUAGUCACAUUUUCUUAGCCAGGCAGCGGCUUGGCUCUGCUCCUGGCAUUGCUGAAGUCCAUGGGCGACGGUAACCACUUACCAUCAGGUGGGCCGUACGCUCGUCUGCCUACAAAGGCAAUAAAAAAAAAAAAUUUUUCGACAAUCUCACCGAAUGUAGGCGAACACCUUUUUAAUAUACAAAAACCACAAUUUUCCACCUCUUCCCAACAUAGAGAAGUGGAGUGGACUCUACUUAUAUCAACGUUUACGCUAGAAUUAAGGAAACUAUUAGAUAAUAAUUCUCAAAGCCCCGCAAACACACUGUAGUUAUCGACUAGGUCAGUGACCUAUUUCUUUUUUAACUAUAAUAUAAAUUUCAUCAAAUUCAAUGACCUACAUUUCUUUACAUUUACUUCCUUAAACAAUAUUAAAUAUUUUCUUUUCUACUAAAACCAAAUCUUUAAUUAUAGUACAGUAAUCGGAGAAUCGUCACGCCCUGUAUAAAUGUCCAAUUACCGAAUCGUGAUAUGAAUGAAGCCAAAACAGUCUAGAUUUCUCGAAAACCUAGCAGCAGGCAGGGGUUUGGCUGUGUCUUUGCCAUUGCAGACGUAACGACAAUGAUAUUAAAAAGAAUCCUAUUCAG